GUCGUUGCGAUAGUAAUCCUGCUCAGUACGAGAGGAACCGCAGGUUCGGACAUUUGGUUCACGCGCUCGGCCGAUCGGCCGGUGGCGCGAAGCUACCAUCCGCGGGAUUAUGCCUGAACGCCUCUAAGGCAGCAUCCCAUCUAGACGAUGCAACGAUACUUUUGCACUCUGUUUGUCACGAGGCCGAAAUACGUCCUCUUAUGGUAGGUAAGCUGUGUUCAAGGUCCAUGAAUGUGGUCCUCACGGCUUACAGCCUAGCCAGAUUCACAUGAGGUGGGAAACCAGCUACCUUCACAAUGAUUUUUCGCGUUGUGUUGGUCGUCCUCAAGUGUGCAAUCAUUUACGGUGAUGUCAGAGUGUAGAAUCGUCUGUAGACGACUUACGUACCGGCCGGGGUGUCGUACUCGGUAGAGCAGUUCCCAUGCUGCGAUCCGUUGAGACUCAGCCCUUGACUGGAGGAUUC
rnacentral:ncRNA from 1 species